GAUGGGUCUUGGGGGAGACCAAGGGUGCCCUGCUCAAUGUCAGCCCUGACUCUGUGCCACGUGCACUCAGCUCUGCCACGGAGGUGCAUGGCUCUGUAGACGUGGACGCCUCAGGGGUGACACCUCAGAGCUCCUGUUUACCUCUUUAGCCACCAGGAAGACAUUAGGACUCCCAGAGGGUGACUCCAGGGGCAGGUGGCUUGGAGGACUGGCCGUGCAAGGAGGCAGCAAAGGGGCGGCCAUCUGCAAGCUGAGGGCAGAGGCCUUGGAGGAAGCAGCCCUGCCAGUGCUGGUAACUCCUGCAGGUCGGAAGUCCAAACCAAGGUGCUGGAAGGGCUGGUUCCUUCCGGACCCUUCAGGGGAGAAUCUUUCUGCCUCUUUGGCUUCUUGAGGCCCCUUCCUGGCAUUGCUUCUUUCUCCACUGACUCCUACCAUCAGCGCUGAGUCCUGCCUGCCUCUUAUAAGGGGCUGGAGAGACUUCUUCAUGAAGGAAUACAGGGACAGUCACAGGAGACAGGAGCACCAAGGGAUUCGGACAUGUGGCUGACACAGUCUUCUGGAGAGCCCCGGAUGGCAUCAGGGGGAAACCUGGCCUGAGACAGUGCCCUGAUGGACAAGGACAGGAAUACGGUCAUACCUCCUGCCCACUUGACCAACGACCAGGAUGAGAAGCCAACAGAUGAUGAAUAUGAAUUAAAGUUGGACAACUAGCAAGUUUAAAACUUGGACUGGGACCUAGAUCUUCCGAUUCCUACAGCUAGCCUCCCUUUCCAUCUUCUCUGUGGUCAUCACUAAUGCAGUUUUUGACCGUCUUGUCCAGAAGCUGCAAAACAGACAACAGAAGCCAGGACUGGCCCUGCCUUAGAUGGCUUUCAGUGCAGGAAAGUAUCAAGACAGUCUUGUUCGUAGCGUAUAUCUCUCUCCACCUUUUCUGCUAAGCACCUCAUGUAUGCAGCUGCCAAUGUAACACCUCCAUUUGCGUGUUUAAUCACCAUCUCAAGCUAAUGUAACCAAGCAGACUUCUUGGCCUUCAUCCCUGCCUCCUCUAGUCUUCUCAUCUCUCUCUCUCUCUCUCUCUUUUUGAGACAGAAUUUGGCUCUGUUGCCCAGGCUGGAGUGCAGUGGCACCAUCUUGGCUCACUGCAACCUCUGCCUCCUGGGCUCAAGCCAUCCUCCCAACUCAGCCUCCUGAGUAGCUGGGUCUUCCCAUCUCUUUAAAAAACAAUUCAAUUGUUCAGAACAAAACCCUGGAGUCAUAUUUAAUUCCUCCCUUCCUCUUGCACUUCUAAACCAAUCAUUCAUCUCUACUUUGAAAAUGUUUCUUUAUUCAUCCAGUGCACCAAGCCACCAUCACCUCGAGGCAGGAAUAUUCAACGGCCUCAUAAGUGGUCUCCCUAUUUGUGUUAUAUUCAAUGCAUGUCUUUUCUUACUCAAAAUCCUAUAAAGGCUUCUCUUCACCAUCCACGACUGUUUCCUGCCUUCCUCACUAUGAUCCCAUCACUGACCCCUCAAGACUAUGUUCCAGCCUACUUUCUGCUCCUUGACCAACACCCUUACUCUGAUUCCCACUUUUGUGACUUCACAUGAGUCCCCUGUCUGCCUGGACACUCUGCCCCCAACCUUGAAGUGCUCACCCUUCCCUGUCACUCAGUUGAAAGUCAAAUUCCAUUUCCUCAUGAGGGCUUCCCUGAAUACCCACUUUUAAUUAACUCUCUGCCUCCUCCCAUCACUUCUGUUUUACCCCCUCUUUUAGUUCCUUCCUAUCUUAGUUUCAUAAGAGCCAGGGCCGUUUCCGACUUCUUUCCCCGUCAAGCCUCCUUAGAUAGGACAGGUCCUCUGCCUCACCGACUUUAAUCAGUAUUUGCUAAGUAAACAGAGCACAGGAGGAUCCUGUUGUCAUCAAAGAGCAGCUCUGCCUCCAAUGGCGAAAGGAUUGUUGGAACCUCAUCCUUCCUUCAAGUUCUGGUUCAAAAAAUUCCAUGCUAUGCCUCACAUGGCCUUGCCCAGGUGCCUGUUUGAUUUGCCUGGGUUGUCUGUUCUUUCUUCCCCACUGUCCUCAUUUGCCAUGUGGCUCGGUGGUGGCUGGAGACCUCCAUGCUGGCCCCUGGGAGCAGCUGCUAAGGCUCGGCGCCUCAGGACACCUUGGCACCUGUGGAUAUCGACCACCAGGCUUCUCUUCUGUUCAUGUCUCUGCAAGAAUGAGAACCUGCCCCCAUACCAUUUGUGCUGUGUAGGCCUCAGGAGGCAUGGACUCACGCAUCCAGCUUCCUGCAAGCCCUCUGGUACAUCGCAGUGUUCACCCCCAGCUUUCUAUUACAGCCACCACCCAGGGACUCUGGUGCAGGCUCCUUAGAGAGAGGCCAGGAAACUGCCGAGGUGAUAAGUGACAGCAGGUCUCAGGGGAAGAGAGGACUUCUCUCCUUAGUAAAGAACCUGUCGAGGUCGGAAAGACACUCCAGGCUCAAAGCCAAAUUUGAAAGUUAGGCUGACAGCCCAACUAGGGCAGAUUGGAGGAGCCAGGUGGAGAGAGGAUGUGGGGGAGUCAGGAAAGAGGUGGAAGGAGAAGCCUGGAAGAGUGGCUCCGCUCCUGGAGUAUGGCCAGCGGCACUUCGUCAGGACCUCGACCUUCACCCACUAGUGGGAGGGUGUUCCUCGCAUGACUUGUAGGAUCACCUGGGAAACACACAAAUGGAAGAAUUUAAAAAUAUCUGCUAGGACACCCCGUGUCCCCCACAACUCAUCACAGAGCAAACCCAUCACAGAGCAAACUCCUUGGCUACUUCUUGUCUUGGGCCGUCUUUUCAUCUGGCCUGUUUGCCUGACUGGACUUUGGGGUCUUUGUUCCCAGCAUCAAAAUUUCCUACCAGCGACUUUCCAUCACAGCUCCCUUCCAGUCUUCUGGAAAUUGUCAGAUGUGCCUGGAUUUGCAGGGCCUGCACAAGAUAUGCUGUCGAUCUGGGAUUUUUGGGGAUUUUUGCAGUUCACACUCCAAUGUGCAACAGCAACCAAACGGAGAUGGAGGACGUGAACAUGAACUACUGGAGAUGCUGAUGAAACGUGUGUAAGGACCGCAAUGGUAUCUGUGUCCUGCUCGUGAAAUUGACCAGAUACAGCGGCUUCCUUUUGCUUCCGAAGGCCCGGAUUGACCUGACAAUUGAUAUGCUUUGCUCUAUACUCCAACUCCCAUUGACCAUGGGGUGAAAGCACCCUUUCUCGGUCAGCCUCACUGCUUCCCCGCAGAUGGAGGGAUUUUCUGCAGGAGCAUGGGCCCUGGGCCUUCCUUUCCCACUGUCUCUUGAAAGCCUCCUCCAGAUGUGCUGCCUGGCUCAGCUCUUUGGGUGACUUUUGUUCUGUCUCAUGUGACCCAUCAAGAUUCACACAGGGCUGUGUCCCGGGCAGGGCUGGAGUCGACAUUCAGGGAGGAGAUCACUGUUCUGGAACAGAGCAGUGAUUGGUUUAAUUGAAAUCUGAUAGAUCAUCAUGUAAAAAGCUGGCAUGUAAGCAUGCUCCCGGAGCCUGCAGGGCCCUGCGCGGCCUCUUGCCUGGCCAUCACGUAGAGGCGGUCCUCUUGCAUGGUUGGGGGCCUCACCUGCACCACGGGCCCCCAAGCCAAACAGUGAGAUUGUACGGAGACCAUCCUGGUCAGGUCUUGCAGUUUGCACCAGGUAGCCCCAGGCUAUCCUGCCGUGCAAGAGCUGCCUUCUCAGCACAGUGGAGUUCUACGGCUGCCUCGGCUGCAGAGGUCAGCUCUGGAGCCUUGCUGAGCACCUCCAUGGAUGCAUUUUGCAAAGGGCCGAGUAAGAGGCAUUAACGUGGCCUGUGCUUAGUUCCUGACAGCAAGCGGGAUUAAACCCGGAUUAAAGGAUCAGCCCUAAACCAAAGCAGACCAGUAAUAGGUCUCAUGAUAAAAGCAGCCAAAUAAUAAUAGUAAAAAUCUAUUCUUGGACUUAUUACUUUCCUGGGAAAAGGGCUAUUUCUUGUGAAAUAUGCAGCGAUUGGAACUUUCCCCGACAGCCCACCGUGAGCUCACUCACUGCCCCUGCCUGUGCUGGGGGGUGGUGGGUGGUGAGAGGUGCAAGUGAAGGGUCUGGACAGAGGCAGAGGGAGGAGAGGGGGCAGGGGGAUGGGGAGGAAGAAUGGGGGGUUCGCUCUGGGAUAGCUUCAUGAUCCACUGAACCUUUCAAACUUGAUGCUUGACGUUUUGAAAAAAAUGACAGAAAAUAUGGGCUGGGCACUGUGGCUCACGCCUGUAAUCCUAGCACUUUGGGAGGCUGAGGUGGGCAGAUCACCUGAGGUCAGGAGUUCAAGACCAGCCUGGCCAACAUGGUUAAACCCCGUCUCUACUAAAAAUAAGCCAGGUGUGGUGGCACAUGCCUGUAAUCCCAGCUGCUUGGGAGGCUGAGGCAGAAAAAUUGUUUGAAUCUAGGAGACAGAGAUUGCAGUCAGCCGAGAUGCUGCCUCUAAACUCCAGGCUGGGUGACCAAGUGGGGCUCUGUCUCGAAAAAAAAAAAAAAAGUGUACUAGGGGGAUGUCGUUGAGGGGCUUAGCCACAUGCUACAGAUCUUUUUAUACCAAGAUGCAUUCAAUGAUUAGCUAAGUUGGACAGUUUGUUACUUUAAGCCUCCACAACCAAAGGGGCAAGAUAAUUAUCUCCCAGAGAACAAGUUGAUCUUCUUUGAAGGAUAAGGAGUUCCCCAAGCAGCAGGAAGAGCUUCUGUUCCCAAUUCCAGCCUUUGAAGUUUAAGCUUCAGAAGAAAACCUUAGCAUUUAAUACAGGAAGGCAUGCACGUGUGUGUGCAUGUGUUUGUACCCACACAUGUGGCUCAAGCUUCCCUGUGACAAUGGGUUGCCUGCGGGUAAGCGUGGGAUGUGUGGAGAAGGCAGGAGGGUUUAGGGCGUGGGCUCAGUACCCUGAUGAGAGAUUUAAAGCAGGCAAAGGGAUUCGGCAAAGUGCAGCUCCCAUUUCAUCAUUUCUUCAGACCCUGCCUUAGUUAUUUACUGCUGUGGUUUUAAACUCUGCUCUUCGAAACCCUUGGUUUCUGCAGAAGUCCUUCGAGAGGUUCGUGGGGGCAAAGGAAGGUGAGGGGCAGGAGCCCAGGCCACCCGGCCUCCUUCCUUUCCCCACGUCUGCUUUCAACUGUUUCAUAUGCAUCAUGCAAAUCGCAGCUGUCAUGGCUCAGGUCCUCAUGUGUACAAUGGGCGCCAUGGCAGCGUCCAGGUCAGAGGGUGACCAGAGUGACAUGAAUUAAGACACGAGAGGACUCCAAAGAGUGGUCAGGCCUCUCACGUCAUAAGAUCUCCAUAAAUGGUCACUAUUAUUUUGUGUUAUUAGGGGUACGCUUUUCAUUUGUAAGAUGACUUCCAUGGGGCCCCACGCCUCAUGACCCCGUCUCACCCCCUGCAAAUACCAUCCCAUGGAGAGGCAGGACUUGAGCCUAUGAAUUUGAGGGGUACACGGUUCAGUCCAAACCUUUUGGUGUUUCUGUGUAUCCAUUUCUGCAUGUGUAAAAUGAGGAGAACAGACAGCUUCCGACCUCAUCUCCAAAGGCGCACGGAGGAGGUGGAAAGGCCCUCGCCGGAGACUGAGCACUGCAGCCAGCGCAAGGCCGGAUUUGCUGCUUCCGCGCGGGGACGCCCUCGGAAAGGUGGCAGGUGCCCACGGCGAGGAAGGGGCGGGAGUGAGGGGUGCGUGGCCCGAGAGAACUCAGUGAAGAAGGCCAUUAGGGAGGAAAUAAGGGAAACGGGGUGUGCGAAGCUCUGAGCUUUUUCUGCCCGGUUUGGCUGAGGACACGCCACGGGUGAGCAUCUGCGCGAGGGGAGCUUGGUGGGUGAGGAAGGAAGAAGACACGAUAGAGAACUGGAAGCAAGAAGGGAGGAAACCAAAAGGAACGGGGAGGAGAAAGGGCUUCUCUGGAGCUGCUUGCUUUUCCCAGAUUCUCCUGCCAUUCCUGGCUCCAGGGAGUCCUGAAGGAACGAUGGUUAGGGCGGAGAAUCCUGCAGAGGAAAGGAGAGAAAGGACUAGAGGUCACACACGGCUUCUUGGAGGGGAGCGGGGAGCAGGGGCUCCGAGGCUGCGGGUCGCAGGCUCCAGGGCAGGAAGCUCUCCAUGGGAACCGUAGUAUGAAUUCCACCGAGGUGCGUCCCGGCACAGACCCGAAGGCAGCCACAUUUGUGGAAAUAAGAUUUGACGUGCAUUUCGGAUCCGCAGAGAAGGUGGACUCUGUUUUGCAGAAUGGACCAGCGGUGGGGGGUGGGGUGGGGGGCAGGAAAAGACUUUAAACGCUGGCAGAACUUUGUAUUCCACUCAUUCGUGCAUGCAUUCAUUCAGCCAUCCUUUCGCUAUCAUUCAUCAAACUAGCGCGCACUGAGGCCACUUUGUGUCAGCGCAGCGCCUGGCCUGAGGACCUCAGGGUGGUGUCGGCAAAGUUCCGCUGCCAAGGAGUUCACGGGCCGUGUUUCCUGCCAGGCCGCAGACACUCUCUGCGUGGAGCCCGAGGAGGUUCUGUGUGAGAUCUCACCCUGCGGGAAGAAAGAGGCGGAGGCUCGGGGUUGGUCCAAUCACACCCCUGAUGGUGAGAGACGGGCGGGCGGGGCCUGACGCCCACUCCCAGCUGGAUGCCUGUCUCCCACCCCGCGUGUCCUUUCCCAGACCCCAAAGCUUCCUGCCUGGUCUCAGUUCUUCGGAGAAGAGGGAUUAGAAGCUGGAACAGGUAUUUCUGCUAAUGGGGCGUGGCAGAUCGGCAUUUGCGGGGGCUCUGUCACCCCGUAAGAUGUCCCAGCAGGAAGCGUGGCGGGUCUCCACUGAGAGCUCCACGGAGCAGCUUUGGCUCCCUGAGAAGUCGAGGUGUGAGCAGUAGCGGCCUUCCCUUUGCAGAGAGAAGGCUUGGGGAGAGAAGACCCUGGUGCCAUCUUCAUAGGAGGUGGAAAGGAAACUGUAUGACAGGAGAAUGAAUCAGGUUUGGGGCUCAAGGUGCCGGCCACUGGGAAAAACAGCUGCCCCGAGUUGCAAAACUCUGGGUCCUAUAUGUAUAAACUAUGCCCUGAGGAAGGAAUCUCAGGCGUAUCUUAGGAGAAAAUGUUCUAGCUUGGGAAACAAACACAACAGGACCGUGAAUCCAAAUAUUUCAAGUGGGUUUAGAGGACUGGAGUUCUAAACGCUGCUUUUACUGUAAGUGAUCACGCCCCGGAAUGUGCUGAAGAAAGGAAAAUGAGCCAGUAUCGGCGAGGACUAUGGGCAAGGAAAACGAGAGUGUGCGAUGUGUCAAAGCAAGACAUCUGUGUAUAGUAAUAUAAUCAAGUAAUAGAUAGUCAUAGAAUCAAGCUGAUGUAUUUGGCAGGGGCCGCGGGAGGAUGAGGCAACUCCCAUCAGAUUAGAAAGAUGUUAACACUGUAACAAAAGUGGGGCUCGAGGAAGGGGAAAAGCGCAGCUCUCUUUUUAAGACGCCAGAAAGUAGUCAGACAUGCUAAGAACAAAACAAACACAAACGAAAACCAGCAAAGAAAGCUCUUCGAGAAGAGUAAGGCUACUGAUCUUUAGGAAUCAAAUCAUUAUUUCCACACAUGUCAUGAAGAACACAGACAUUAAAGCACAAAGGAGAAACUUAAAUGAAAGUAGGAGGGAGAAGUCAAAGCUCAAGUAAAGAGAUUUUUAACCUAGAGAGGCUGAGUUAUCAAGGAAGAAAGAAGGCCAAGCCAGCUUGUUGCAGAAUGUUCCAGAAGAUAAGAUAAUGAUAGACUUAAAUAAAUAGGGACUGAUCAAGGUGAUAGCGAGUUCUUGGUGAAAUUGCUUCCAAGGAUUUUAUAGAAGUGUAUUUCAUGGAAAUGUACAGUAACCGGAUGACUGUAUUAAAAUUUUAAAACUGCUGGGUGUGGUGGCUCAUGCAUAUAAUUCCAACACUUUGGGAGGCCAAGGCGGGUGGAUCACAUGAGGCCAGGAGUUCGAGACCAGCCUGACCAACAUGGUAAAACCCUGUCUCUAUUAAAAAUACAAAAAUUAGCAGGGUGUGGUGGUGUGUGCCUGUAAUCCCAGCUACCUGGGAGGCUGAGGCAGGAGAAUCACCUGAACCUGAGAGGUUGCAGUGAGCCAAGAUUGCGCCACUGCACUCCAGUCUGACUCCGUCUCAAAUAAAACAAAAUAAAAUAAAAAUCUAAAACUGACUUAGGCAGUUAAGUGUGUUUCCAAAGAACGUAAUUGGUGGGAGGCAGAGCGGGCCCGAAUUGCCACCUCUUCCCGGCACGGCCAGUGCUCUUCCUCCCACUCCCGGCCACCUCCGCAGGCCCCUGCCCGUGCCAGGACUGGGUGAAGCUGUGAAUGUGCUUCUCCACUUGGGGGUGCGGGACAAUGCUGGGGCCCUGGGCUGGGUUUCUGCCCUAGGAAGCCUCACUGUUGAGUCAGGGGCUGCUGGAGCUGAGUUUUGUCUUCAGUGGCUUAUGAAGGAAAGAUGAAGCUA
rnacentral:lncRNA from 1 species